AGCUAGGGGAGCAUCACAGUGCCAGUAUAUUUAUACCUGGGUAAGGGUAUAAGUACACUUUAAGCAACUCCAUUGUGUGAGAAUAUGGAUCCUCCUUCACAUAUACAAACAGUCAUGUAUUUCCCAAAGGAGUCUUUGUGUAAUUCAGUGUAAUACGUGUUUUUAAGCAGGGGUGUACAAGCCAUGCAAAAUAAUGGGUUCUUUUUAGAUAACAGACUUCUGAGUUUAACAUGUGAUUAACUUUACCAAAAAUCCUUUUCUUCUCAAGUACAGUACUUAUGACAAAUUGUGUGGAGAACACCUACAUAUUCCACUUCUUUGGGUUCAGAGUGUCUCCUAGUGACAUCCACUUUAUACGUUUUUUAUUUUAAGUUUAGUCUGGUGUGCUUUUCACUUUAGUAACUAUGAACCGUAUCUACGAAACAGUAACUUCGUAAUUUUAAGCACACACUGUUUGCUAGACAUGUGCAAAGCACUUUGUACGUUAUCUUAUUGAAUUCUGUUAUCAUUCCCAUUUUAGAAAUGAGGAAGUUGAGGGUUACAGAGGUUAUAUAAAUUGUAGACUAUGUUGUGCCGCUUGCCUUCUUACCCAUCUGUGUCCCAUCAUAAUUGCACUCUGGUUCCACUAUGCUUAGGUUUACAAUUUGACUUCUGAGAUCCCUUCCCCUUGAUAGUCAUUCAUUCAUUCAUUCAUUCGUUCUGUAUGUUGAGUGCCUACUGUGUACCAGGAUGCUGUGACAUUCAGGCCAGCACUUGAUGAUGGCUGCUUGUCACAGGAUCUAUUGAUGUAGUCUUGACAAAUCAGGAGUGGACAUAGCCCUUUCAUUCUAUCCUGUGAGCCUUGGCUUAUGCCAUCCGUUUAUUACUGUGGCUUCUAUAUGUUAAUAAAUAACUUAUCAAAAUAGUCAUAAAGGACUUGGCAGACAAAAUGAACUGCUAGAGAAGACUGCAUUAAAUUUUAAUAGGAAGAAUUCUUAGUAAUAAGCCAAAAAUGAGUCUUGGUGUAGAGCCGAGCCAUUCCUUUGAGGCUUUCCCUAAGACCUCCUCAUGUCAAGGACUGAGUUUUUUCAUUUAUGAAACACUUCACUUUUAGACAAAUUGCAUUUGAAAUUUCUUAGUCUGUUUCCCCAGUAAAUAAAUAAAACAAAAAGGAAGAUGGUGUACAUUACACCCCCAGUUGUAUAUUACAUCCUUCUAUGUAUCCAGCACUGUGUUGGUUGCUGGGAAGAUGUCAGUGAUGACAUCAUAGACCCUGAUCUAAGGAACCAGUAUUCUGGUGGGGACAGGCAAGGAAACUGUCCUAGUUCAGUGUAUGAAAUGCUGUGAUGGGGAUGCAGGUGGAAUAUUAUGGGAGUGUUUAGGAGGGCAGCUCACCAUCUUGUUGGUGGUGAGGUCCACAGAAGUUUCUCUGAAGAGGUGACAUGUGAGCAGGUAUCUAAAAAUGGAGUGGAGUUAGCCAGGUGGGGUGGGUGUCAGGGGUGGAGAGGGGCAGAGUAGCAGAAGAACAUUUUUAUUAAAAUGCUUUUGUUGCUUUGGAGAAAGAUGAUAUUUUGUCCUCUAAAAUUCUAUGAGCAGAGCUUCCAGACUGUAACAGAGGUUGGGGUGACCUAAAGCAGACGAACAAAUAUUUUGGCAGAGCUGGAGUGUGAGUUUAAUUUCCGUAGGAGUUCUGUAGAGGAGAACUUUUCCUGUAUGCGAACAGGCACCUUUAUAUUUUUAAAAUUUUUUCCAGUUUUAUUGAGAUAUAAUCGACAUACAACACAGUAUAAGUUUAAGGCAUGGUGACUUGACUUGCAUAGAUUGUGAAUUGAUUACCAUAAUAAGCUUAAUUAAUGUCCAUCAUCAUGUAUAGACACACACACACACACAAAAUGUUUUUUUCCUUGUGAUGAGAACUUUUAGGAUUUACUCUCUUAACUUUCCCAUUUUUUACAUAGCAGUGUUAGCUAUAGCCGUCACGUUGUACGUUACAUCCCCAGUCCUUGUUUAUUUUAUAACUGGAAGUUUGACCUCUUUCAUCCAUUUCCCUCACCCCUACUCCCAACCCCCUGCCUCUGGUAACCACAAAUCUGAUCUUUUUUCCUAUGAGUUUUUUGUUUUGUUUUGUUUUGUUUUUCUGAUUUCACAUUUAAGUGAGAUUGCACAGUAUUUGUCUUUCUCAAACAGGGAGCUUUUCAGUGCGGAGAGGGGACUCAAGCCUCUGUAACCCUCUUGAUUGCCUGUGCUGCUGGCGUUUGUUGUUCUUUCAGAUUAGGCAUAAUACAAUCUCCUUACUUCAAACUCCACUGUUUAAAAUGUUUGAUGAUUUGUGAAAGCCUUCCCAUAAAAAGCAGUUGACCAAGCAUGUAAAUAAUUAAAACUAUUAAUAUAAAUGUAUAUUGAACAUUUCAAUGUUUAGAGUGCUGGGUUUAUAUACUUAAGAUUGCUCGGGAUUAUAUAGCCGGUUCAAAGAAACAAACUUUUAAACGGUUUUAUAAAGUGAACAGAAUCUAUUUGCAUACCAAUUCCAACUUACGCUCUGUUCAAAAAAGUAGGUCUGAUGGUACCUCUUUGUGGAAAUAGUUUAUUAGCAAUUAGUGUUCAUGUCGAAUAAAGUUUUAAGAUUUUAUUUUUCACUAAAAUUCUUUAAAUUCAGAUAUUUUUGGUAAUUCAUGCUUUCCCUCCAAUUUCCCUAGAUUGGUAAGAUUUUACUGCAGUUACACUCUCUUUUCUUAUAAUAACAAUGAACAUGUUGAAGAUAGUGACCAUAUGGAAGGGCAUGGGCAGGGCGAGAGUAAUUCCUUUCCGCUUUAAGGGAUUUAAAUUUUUUUUUUCAUUAUUCAAGAGUUAUACUUUUUUCUCUAUAUUUAAAACAACUUCCAUCAUCUCCUCUAAUAAAUGAGUUCUGUAAUAAAUUUACGAUGUCUGGUAAUCUGAUGUUGUAUUUGCUUACUGUCUGUCUUUCCCACUGUAACAUGAGCUUCAUGAUAGCAGAGACUUUGUCUUGUUGCUCUAUCCUUAGCACCUAGAAGAUUCCCUACCAUGUGACGAGGACUUCAUAUUUAUUUAAUGAACGAAUGAAGCAGUUAAUGCUUUAUUUGUGUGUGGUAACUGAUGAUGCUUGCAAACUUUGUAUAAAAUAGGUUGCAUAAACAUUCAUACUGCCUUAUGUAUAACUUAAUUUUUUUGAUGAGAGAGGGAGGAAUUUUGGAAUCUUAUUAGAUCGUUUGUUUAC
ensembl:lncRNA